UGCGUGACAGGCCCUCAAAUUUAUGGGGGCCUGAUUUGCAGCGGGCAGGCUCCCAUAAAUUUGAGGGCCUGCCACGCA